rnacentral:rRNA from 1 species
GUGGGGUGCGAGCGUUGUCCGGGAAUUACUGGGGCGUAAAGAGCUCGUAGGUGGUUUGUCGCGUCGUUUGUGUAAGCCCGCAGCUUAACUGCGGGGACUGCAGGCGAUACGGGCAUAACUUGAGUGCUGUAGGGGAGACUGGAAUUCCUGGUGUAGCGGUGGAAUGCGCAGAUAUCAGGAGGAACACCGAUGGCGAAGGCAGGUCUCUGGGCAGUAACUGACGCUGAGGAGCGAAAGCAUGGGUAGCGAACAGGAUUAGAUACCCUGGUAGUCCAUGCCGUAAACGGUGGGCGCUAGGUGUGAGUCCCUUCCACGGGGUUCGUGCCGUAGCUAACGCAUUAAGCGCCCCGCCUGGGGAGUACGGCCGCAAGGCUA